rnacentral:lncRNA from 1 species
AUGGAACUGAAGAUGGAGGACACCAACCCAAAUAGACUGAAGGACAGCAAAAGGAUGGAUGCCAACACUGUCUGGCAAUGGCGGAUUAUGCACGUAAAAAAAUACUCAAGAAGCCCCGAACCAUUCCAUUACAGCAAUAAAAUUGGAUUAGAUUUUAAUGUUGGAUCCACGGCACAGAAACUGGAUUUACAAUUACUGACAAACGGGGUCAUGCUUGAAAUCUGUGACUUUGCUAAAAUGGUUACAAAGGGUAAAAGCCACUUUAUCAUGAACAUUCUGGAGAACAAUUUUGAUCUUGGUUUGGAAAAUGAGCAACAACGGAUUCAUUUUAGAGCUCAGAUUUCACACAAGCUCAAGGACCUGAUGAGGAGGCCUCCUAAAGAAAAACUUGACAUUGCUGCUCUUUUUGGUUCUUCUUUUGUACCAGUGUGGGCCAGAAGCAUCAAAAAAGAACCAAAUGCAGGAGCAGAUUGUCAGUAUUUCAGUUUCCAGGUGAAGAAAGAAGAUAAUGGUACACAUACAAGCAAAAUUCCUUGUUCACAAACAUCUGAAAAAAAGAUUGACCGACUACAUGCUGAUGUCAGCGAUGAUGAAGAGGAAAUUGAGUGCUUAGGGGCGCAGUUAAAAGAAGAAAUCAGAGGAGAUGUUCUCCCCUUUUCAUACCCUUACUGUGAAGAAAUUGGUUUGCGCUUUGAAAGUGGUGCAAAACAAAGCCUUGAUCCAGGUUUAUUGACAAAUGGUAUGAUGGUAGAACUGGUAGACUUUACUAGAGUACUGAUUGCAUCCUACAGCUCUAUUAUUCUCAGUGUCCUGAAGCAUAAUUUUGAACUUGACCUUCAAAAUCAACAGGACAAAAAGCAAGUUUUGUUCAGCGUGUCCCAACUGUUGAAAAGGAGAAAAAAACUUAAGACCACUGGUACUAAAAUAAGUCCACAUUUUAAGAAUGAGCUGUUUUCCUUUGAGACAAAUCCCUUUAAAAGAGCUCCAGCACAGCUGACUAUGGAAGAACUUUUAUACGAGAGCUUGAAGAAAAGAAGAAAGUAUAAUUCAAAAGCAAAUAUGCAAAAUGAAUGUGACAUGGAAGAAGAGACAAUGGAAACAGAAAGUAACAUGUGGAAGCUGCGUGCUAACCGUGUGAAACAAAUCCUGUUGGUACUAGACAAAGAGUACUGUACAUUCUUCAGGCCCAAUAAAGCAAAUUUGGAAUUCAAUAUUGGGUUUGGGCCCAAGAAAAACUUGAGUGGUGACUAUCUGACCAAUUCUGUUCUGUAUAAAGUUGCUCGAUUUGCCUUGGCAGUGAAUUCAUCCCAGCAGGAAUUCAUCAUGGAGAUUCUUGAGAAGAACUUUGACUUAGGCCUGAAGAACAAAUCUUAUAAACCUGCCUUUGCAUGUGAACUCAUGAGUAGAAUAAGACAGCUUCAGAAAUGCGAGGAUCCGGUCAAAUUCUCUAAAGAAGUUUUUGAACUUCCUCGUCCUGUUCCGUCAUUCAGAAUGACAUCUCAGAGAAUGGACAUUGUUGGCCCAGACCUCAGCAGCAGAUCGAAUGUGAAGGAAUCUGAUAUUGCUCCUUCAAAUUCUCCUGACUCACAAGCUGAAACUAAACUAAGUCCAAAUGUUGUAACUACAACUGAGUUACCAGUCCAUCUACAUGAAACUGAACCCAAGCCACAUACUGAAACCAAACCUGAAAUAAAGUCAGAGAAAAAUGUCCAUCCUUAUCACUUCUGCAAGGAGAUUGGUCUGAAACUUCAUGUCAGCUGCAGUCAACAAAAACACAAACUUGACAUCAGCAAACUGACCAAAGGAGCAAUGAUGGAAGUAACAAACUUUGCCGAAAAGUUGUGUGGAACAUUUGAGCAGAUUUGCCUGGACGUUCUCAGACACAACUUUGAGCUUGAUUUGCAAAGUGUCGAUUCUGAACUUGCAAGAAAUAUCCUUGGACACAUUCCGGCUGCAAAUGAGGAAAGAAAUCUUGUGACCCGUGUAACCCAUGGGAAAUCGAAGCACCCAAAAAGAGAUUACCCAAUUCUCCCGACACUGAAUUGCCAGAAUAACCCAAAUACAGAAGCAUGUAGAGCUGAUUCUACUGAGGAAAAUAUACACAAAGAUGUAAGCAGUACCACUGACCCUGAACAACAAGAUGACCUCAACUCAGCGCUGUGGAAAUUGAGGCGUAUUCAAAUUCAGCACAUCCUCUCAGUACCUCAUGGAGAACACUGCCCACUUUAUUCUUACUCUAGAUGUAAGAAAUUGGGCAUCGACUUUAAUGUAGGAUCUGGAGUAAAACUAAAUCUUGACCCAAAGUUACUUACCAAUGGCAUCAUGGUUGAAGUUAACACGUUUGCCGAAGCAAUGUUGUCAUCUACAAAAGAUUUCAUCACAGCGAUCCUGGAGUACAACUUUGAUCUAAAUUUGAACAGCGAGGCAAGUCGCAAUGCCUUUGGAAAGAAGCUUAUGCGAAACUCUGGAGCAAUGAAGACAAAGAAACUAGCUGCAUCUCAGAAGAAAAUACUUUUUCAACUGCCUGACUCAAAAUCUGUAGAUGAAUAUACUCCAUAUUGCCCCAAAUGUUAUCAAGAUAGAAUUAAGCGUCGUCAAGAUAAAUCGCAGUCCGGUCGCGUCCCUGAGCAGCCCCAAACUGGGUCAGAUGUUUGUGCUGAUGCAAAGGCAGAAAGUACUCAAAAUGAUCGAACCUCUAUUUCUGCAGCAACAAGAAAGACUAUAAUGAGCUGUUACCCCUCAUGCAGGAAAAUGGGUUUAAGACUGCGCGUGAGUAAAGCACACCGUAAACGUAAACUCGAAACACGUGCUUUGACCUGGGGUGUUAUGUGUGAGGUUUAUUCUUUUGCCAGGAAACUGAGUGGAACAAAGCAUAAACUUGUCAAUGAUAUUCUUGAGCACAACUUCAACUUGGACAAACAGACUCUAGACCUCAAUCCUUCAAUGUUGUUCUGUAGAGUACAGCCACGAGAAGGAGAGCAUGCCUGGUUCAAUGAUGUUUUUGUUAUUCAGGCACCUCGCAAAUGUCCUGUUAUUGGGGUUAAAAGGGAAGGACAAUCCAGCACGCAGACAAAUGAAUGGAAGGAAACGAUCAGAAAAAGACAGCUGGACAUGCAGGCAAAGAAGAAAAGGGCCAUGGUGGCAAGUGAUUAUGCCAUGGAUAAUGUAGGAAAGAUUGGAUUUGAUGAAAUGGGUUUGAGUCUAGACGAAACAGUAGGAGGGGACUAUUGCUACAUGUGUCCUAUAGAAGCAGACACACUCACAGAUUCAGAAAACAGCGGGAAUGAGGAUGACAUAGAAAACCCAAAAUCAUCUCGCCUCUCUGCUCCUUUCCAUACCACCACCGAUAGUUCCUUCAGUUCAGCAGUUGUAGACACAGAUAUGGACCCGCCAUCUCCAAGUCAGCCAGAUGAAAGUGGGCUGCUAGAAUAUGAAGAGGAGGAAGAGAUUCCAACGGAUGUGCCAAAUGAAUUUGACAUGAAAGAAGAGGAAAUGGAAAUGGAGAGUAACAUGUGGAAGCUGCGUACUCACCGUGUGAAACAAAUCCUCCUAGUCCUAGACAAAGAGUACUGUCCAUUCUUCAGGCCCAAGAAAGUUAACCUAGAAUUCAAUAUUGGGUUUAGGCCCAAGAAAAAUUUGAGUGCUGACUGUCUGACCAAUUCUGUUCUGUAUAAAGUUGCUCGGUUUGCCUUGGCAAUGAGUUCAUCCCAGCAGGAAUUCAUCAUGGAGAUUCUUGAGAAGAACUUUGCGUUAGACCUAGAGAGCAAAAGCCACAGAUACACCAUUGCAUGUGAACUGAUGAAUAAAAUAAGGCAGCUUCAGGAAUGUGAAGAUCCAGUCAAAUUCUCAAAAGAGGUAUUUAAACUCCCUGAUUCCUGCAUGAACAGCAGCAUAUCAAGAUUGGAUGAGUCUGAUGUUGAACCCUCACACCCCCCUGAUUCAGAUGGUGAAACUAAACCAGAUCCACAUGUGUCAACUAUACCAGGUUUACCAGCUGGUCCACCUAAAACAGUAUCCGAGGAAAGUGUGAACCUGUAUCCCUUCUCCAAGGAGAUUGGUCUGAAGUUGCAUGUAAGCUGCAGUCAACAGAAAAACAAACUUGAUGUCAACAAACUGACCAAAGGAGCAAUGAUGGAAGUGACAAACUUUGCUAAAAAGUUGUGUGGGACAUUUGAGCAGAUUUGUCUGGACGUUCUCAGACACAACUUUGAGCUUGAUUUGCAAAACGUCAAUUCUGAACUUGCUAGACAUGUUCUUGCACAAAUUCCUGUUGCAAAUGAUCAUAGAAAUGUGGCAACCUGGGUAGCCCAAGCAAAGCAAAAGAACACACGAAGAGAUUAUCCAAUAGUCAUGAAACUGAAUUGCCAAUACAAGCCAGAUGCAGAAAUAUGUAAUGCUGCAUCUACUCGAGCAGUCAAGCACCAAAAUGUAAGCAAUUCCACUGACAAGCAACAAAAUGACCUAAAUUCAGUUCUAUGGAGAUUGCGGAUCAAUCAGAUUCAACGCAUCUUCUCAGUGCCUCAUGGAGAACAUUGCCCACUGUAUUCUUACUCCAGGUGUAAGAAAUUGGACAUGGAUUUUAAUGUCGGAUUUGGAGUAAAGCAAAAUCUGGACCCAAAGUUACUGACCAACGGCGUCAUGGUAGAAGUUAACACAUUUGCCGAAGCAAUGCUGUCAUCCACAAAAGAUUUCAUCAUGGAGAUCCUGGAGUAUAACUUUGAUCUAAAUUUGAACAGUGAGCUAUUUCACAUUGCCUUCGCAGAGCAGCUCAUGCAAACCAUUACAACACUGAAGUCAAAAAAAUUCAGCCUGCCUCAAAAGAAAAAGCUUUUUAAACUCCCUCAGUCAGUUUUCAUAGAGGAAUAUACUCCAGAUUGCCCCAAAUGUCAUCAAGAUAAAAAUGGCAAGCUUGUCCAGGAUGAAUCUUACUCUGGUAAUGUGCUUCACCAGCCUCUUGCCGUGACCAGUGUCAUCUCUACUAAUGCAAGCAGCACGGUAAAAAAGCCUCCAGAUGAUCAAACCUCUUCUUCUUCUGCAUCAGUAGAAACAAUAUUGAACACUUACCCUCUCUGCAAGAAAAUAGGUUUAAGCCUAUGUGUGGACAAAGCUCACCCAAAACUUAAACUCGACACAUGUGUUUUGACAUGGGAGGUCAUGUGCGAGGUGUAUUCUUUUGCCAGGAAACUGUGUGGGACAAAGCACAAGCUUGUCAAUGAUGUUCUUGAGCACAACUUCAGCUUGGACAAGCAGAGUCUAGACAUGAAUCCUUCAGUGCAGUUCUACAGAGUGAAUCCACAUGAUGGAGAGCCCGCCUGGUUCAGCGAAGUUUUUAUUAUUCAGCCACCUCGCACAUUUCAAGUCAUUGAGAGUACAGAGGAAGAGCUACCCACUGUGCAGAGAAAUGAAUGGAAGGAAACGGUUCGAAAAAGACAACUGGAAAUGCAAGCAAAGAAGGAAAGAGCCAUGCUGUUACGUAAUACUCUGAGUGCUGUGACAUUAACAAAGAAUAAGCAGAAAAAUCUCUAUCCUAUUUGCAAGAAAAUAGGUCUGGACCUUGAUGUUUCAUCAAAAUCAGCGGACAAAAAAAAGCUGAACUUGAAGUUACUGACAUCAUCAGUGCUGUUGGAAAUACAGAAAUUUGCAGCAACGAAAAGGAACCAGUAUUUCCCGGCUAUUUUGUUUGACAUCCUAGACUAUAACUUUGAGAUUAGCUCACAGCAUCACAAGCGCUGGGAAUUUUCAAUCGCUGCUGCAACCAAAUUCCAUUCGAUGAUCAGACAGUAUCGAAAUACUGGAAUAGAAAAGAUCUUCAAGUUACCAUUUCUGUCUGGACCCAAAUUCCCACAGAGCUCAACACAAAAUCUGCAAAAUGAUAAAAGUGCUCAUAGAGUGGAUGGAAACCAAUGUGUGCAGCCAGCAACAUACCAUGCAAUCCAAAUGCAGCCAGUGACAAUAAUGCAGAUGAAUGUUAACCCUAUGAACAUCCCUACGAUUACCUCAAUUUUUACACCUAUGAUUACCUCUGUAAUCAACCCUAUGGUUACCCCUGUGAUUAACCCAACAAUUACCCCAAUUUUUACACCUGCAGUUACCACCAUUAAUACCCCUAUGAUUGCCCCCAUGAGCACCUCUACACUUACCCCCAUGAAUACCCCUACGAUUACCUCCAUCAGUACCACCACAACUGUAGGUUGUGACGGUUUUCUUCCAGGAAACCUCCAAAUUAAAGAGGAGGAAGAUGAUCCACGUUAUGGCAAUAUGCCAUCACUGGAUGUUGAAACAAACUAUCACCAAGGUAAUGAUGAUGUCAGAACUGACUCAAACACUGAGGCUGCCAAGAAUUUAGUCCCAGGUCAUCCUGCAGGAUCCCUUGGGCAUACCGCAUGUCCAACCUCUGAAAGCAAUAAUGGAAGCAAGUCAUCACAGCCCUCUGAUGGAUGUGUGCAAACUGCAUCUUUAAGUAGUGAGACUGUCAUAAAAACAGAGUCGGACACUGAGGGAUACAUGGAUUACUACAUGGUAACUGUAGGUCAGGACACUGAGAUAAAAGAGGAGCAGGAACAUGUGCCAGCUGGAAGUGCAGAAAGUGAAGUGGAUAUUAAACAGGAAUGUGAGUGUUAA